rnacentral:rRNA from 1 species
CGACUUAUAUUCUGUAGCAAGGUUAACCGGAUAGGGGAGCCGCAGGGAAACCGAGUCUUAACCGGGCGUUAAGUUGCAGGGUAUAGACCCGAAACCCGGUGAUCUAGCCAUGGGCAGGUUGAAGGUUGGGUAACACUAACUGGAGGACCGAACCGACUAAUGUUGAAAAAUUAGCGGAUGACCUGUGGCUGGGGGUGAAAGGCCAAUCAAACCGGGAGAUAGCUGGUUCUCCCCGAAAGCUAUUUAGGUAGCGCCUCGUGAACUCAUCUUCGGGGGUAGAGCACUGUUUCGGCUAGGGGGUCAUCCCGACUUACCAACCCGAUGCAAACUGCGAAUACCGGAGAAUGUUAUCACGGGAGACACACGGCGGGUGCUAACGUCCGUCGUGAAGAGGGAAACAACCCAGACCGCCAGCUAAGGUCCCAAAGUCAUGGUUAAGUGGGAAACGAUGUGGGAAGGCCCAGACAGCCAGGAUGUUGGCUUAGAAGCAGCCAUCAUUUAAAGAAAGCGUAAUAGCUCACUGGUCGAGUCGGCCUGCGCGGAAGAUGUAACGGGGCUAAACCAUGCACCGAAGCUGCGGCAGCGACGCUUAUGCGUUGUUGGGUAGGGGAGCGUUCUGUAAGCCGUUGAAGGUGGCCUGUGAGGGUUGCUGGAGGUAUCAGAAGUGCGAAUGCUGACAUAAGUAACGAUAAAGCGGGUGAAAAGCCCGCUCGCCGGAAGACCAAGGGUUCCUGUCCAACGUUAAUCGGGGCAGGGUGAGUCGACCCCUAAGGCGAGGCCGAAAGGCGUAGUCGAUGGGAAACAGGUUAAUAUUCCUGUACUCGGUGUUACUGCGAAGGGGGGACGGAGAAGGCUAUGUUGGCCGGGCGACGGUUGUCCCGGUUUAAGCAUGUAGGCGGGUGUUCCAGGUAAAUCCGGAACGCUGUUAACGCUGAGGUGUGAUGACGAGGCACUACGGUGCUGAAGCAACAAAUGCCCUGCUUCCAGGAAAAGCCUCUAAGCAUCAGGUAACAUCAAAUCGUACCCCAAACCGACACAGGUGGUCAGGUAGAGAAUACCAAGGCGCUUGAGAGAACUCGGGUGAAGGAACUAGGCAAAAUGGUGCCGUAACUUCGGGAGAAGGCACGCUGAUGGUAGGUGAAGUGAUUUACUCAUGGAGCUGAAAUCAGUCGAAGAUACCAGCUGGCUGCAACUGUUUAUUAAAAACACAGCACUGUGCAAACACGAAAGUGGACGUAUACGGUGUGACGCCUGCCCGGUGCCGGAAGGUUAAUUGAUGGGGUUAUCCUCGCGGAGAAGCUC